rnacentral:tRNA from 1 species
GCGAAGGUGGCGGAACUGGCAGACGCACCAGACUUAGGAUCUGGCAGGGCGACCUAUGGGGGUUCGAUUCCCCCCCUUCGCA